rnacentral:misc_RNA from 1 species
AACAAGGCGUACCUGCGGACCUGCGGAAGGAUCAUUACACAAUAAACAUAUGAAGGCUGCACCGCCAACAGGCGGCAAGGCUGGAGUAUUUUAUUACCCUUGUCUUUUGCGCACUUGUUGUUUCCUGGGCGGGUUCGCCCGCCUCCAGGACCACAUGAUAAACCUUUUUUAUGCAGUUGCAAUCAGCGUCAGUACAACAAAUGUAAAUCAUUUACAACUUUCAACAACGGAUCUCAGAUC